GACGAACCGUGCGAACGUUGUUCGGAAUCACUGGGCUUAAAGGGCGCGUAGGCGGGUGGCCAAGUCUGAAGUGAAAUCCUCCGGCUUAACCGGAGAACAGCUUUGGAUACUGGUCGUCUCGAGUGGGGUAGGGGCGUGUGGAACUGUAGGUGGAGCGGUGAAAUGCGUUGAUAUCUACAGGAACUCCGGUGGCGAAAGCGACACGCUGGACCCUUACUGACGCUGAGGCGCGAAAGCCAGGGGAGCAAACAGG
rnacentral:rRNA from 1 species